rnacentral:rRNA from 1 species
GAUGAACGCUGGCGGCGUGCCUAAUACAUGCAAGUCGAGCGAACAGACGAGGAGCUUGCUCCUCUGACGUUAGCGGCGGACGGGUGAGUAACACGUGGAUAACCUACCUAUAAGACUGGGAUAACUUCGGGAAACCGGAGCUAAUACCGGAUAAUAUAUUGAACCGCAUGGUUCAAUAGUGAAAGACUGUUUUGCUGUCACUUAUAGAUGGAUCCGCGCCGCAUUAGCUAGUUGGUAAGGUAACGGCUUACCAAGGCAACGAUGCGUAGCCGACCUGAGAGGGUGAUCGGCCACACUGGAACUGAGACACGGUCCAGACUCCUACGGGAGGCAGCAGUAGGGAAUCUUCCGCAAUGGGCGAAAGCCUGACGGAGCAACGCCGCGUGAGUGAUGAAGGUCUUCGGAUCGUAAAACUCUGUUAUUAGGGAAGAACAAAUGUGUAAGUAACUAUGCACGUCUUGACGGUACCUAAUCAGAAAGCCACGGCUAACUACGUG